rnacentral:rRNA from 1 species
GACGAACGCUGGCGGCGUGGAUUAGGCAUGCAAGUCGAACGGUAUAUAUUCUUUCGGGGAUAUAGAGAGUGGCGAACGGGUGAGUAACGCGUAGGUAAUCUACCUUCAAGUGGGGGACAACCCAGGGAAACUUGGGCUAAUACCGCAUGUGGCAGUAAUGCUAAAGCCGGCCUCUGAAUAUGCUGGUGCUUGGAGAUGAGCCUGCGUCUGAUUAGCUAGUUGGCGGGGUAACGGCCCACCAAGGCGAUGAUAAGUAGGCGGCUUUAACGAGUGGUCGCCCACACUGGGAUUGAGAUACGGCCCAGACUCCUACGGGAGGCAGCAGUCGAGGAUAGUCUACAAUGGUCGAGAGAUUGA